rnacentral:rRNA from 1 species
AGACGAAACAGUGAUGUGGAGUAAAACUUAUAAAAGCGACCUCAGUUCGGAUUGAAGGCUGAAAUUCGCCUUCAUGAAGUCGGAAUUGCUAGUAAUGGCAGGUCAGCAUACUGCCGUGAAUACGUUCCCGGGCCUUGUACACACCGCCCGUCACACCAUGAGAGUUGGAGAUACCCGAAGCCUAUGAGCUAACUUUUAGAGGCAGUAGUCGAAGGUAGAAUCAAUGAUUGGGGUGAAGUCGUAACAAGGUAUC